ACCCCAAGAAAACAAGCAAAAUCAUUGCAGUCUGUGCUGUUCUGCACAACAUUUGCAAAGAUAGAAAUAUGCUGUUGCCAGAAGAUCUUCCUCCUCUCCCUGAGGAUUAUCAUGGUGAGGUCAAUGAGGAGGCCCUGGAGCGACCUCAAGAUGGUAUUCGCUACAGGGAUGACUUUGCUGCACUUCACUUUGGGGCACGACACUAAGGUCCCACCAGUCAGGCAAGUGCUGUGGUAGCUGUCGCAAGGUGGCCAACAGAGAUCUACUCCGUCCCAUGGGAAAAUGCUGCCCCUGUGAGGGGCACAGCAUUCCAGAGAUGGAUCUACAGCUUUUCCUGCAAACACCUGAGUGUGUGGUACUUUUUUCGAUUCAGAUACUCUUCUUCAUACUCCUUUUGUGCCACAUCUCUAAUGCGAAGUGCCAUCUGUGGCCCCAACAAUGCCUGGUAUGCCUGCUGCUGCCAUGGGUAAUUAGAGUAAUCACACAACUAAUGGUAGGCUGCAAGGGUUCAAGGUCAUCACUGCCACAUUGCUGCAUCUUGUCCGUGGCCAAAUACCUCAAUGUUUUCACCACCUUCAUCUCAGUUCUGAUGGACUUGCUCCUCAUUGUAGGACUUUCCAAGGUCCUCCUCACCAAGUCUGUCAUCAUCAAUGUGGGAGCAGGGGCGUACCUUCUGUGUAUCCAUGGCAGGGGCGGAAGCUGGGAGUUCAACAACCACCAAGCUGCUCUAGCAUAGUCGUGCCAACAUGGAGCUUUGUUCAACCACAUCCGCAUACAAACUAAGUAUAGUGUACUAUAUGGCCAGUUUUCAUGCUUAUUGUUUUAUUUAUAUUGUUUGCUUUACUUUCUUGCUAUUCCUGUAUUGGUCAUGUGAUUUUUAAACCUCAGUUGUUAAAUGCCCAUUUGAAUUAUUGCCUUUUUAGUAGCUAUCAGUAGUUAAUAAAUCUAAAGACUAUAAAUUAUAAAAAUAGGUAAAUUAAAGUAAUUAAAAAGAAUUAUAAUCCUUUAAUGAACACUUUACGAACAUCUCUGAGAUUCACACUUCAUGAAGAGAGGGUUGUACUGGCACACAAGCAAAGAUACCAAUAUCCAUCAUGUUACAUGUUAUUAUAAACCAUUUCAGCAUGCAUAAUUGACAGCUUUCAUUCAUGCCUGGCAAAAUUCUAGGUGCACACAAGCAAAGAUACGAAUAUCCAUCAUGUUACCUAUUAUUAUAAACCAUUUCAGCAUGCAUAACUGACCCCUUUAAUUAAUGCCUGGCAAAAUUCUAGGUGCACACAAGCAAAGAUACCAAUAUCCAUCAUGUUACCUGUUGUUAUAAACCAUUUCAGCAUGCAUAACUGACCCCUUUAAUUAAUGCCUGGCAAAAUUCUAGGUGCACACAAGCAAAGUGAAUAUCCAUCAUGUUACCUAUUAUUAUAAACCAUUUCAGCAUGCAUAACUGACCCCUUUAAAUCAUGCCUGGCAAAAUUCUAGGUGCACACAAGCAAAGUGAAUAUGCA